UACUUACACAUGUAUGGCAGGCCGUUUCCGAGAUGAAUACGACUUACGAGUGAAUGCUAUUCCAUGCAGUGAGGAUUGUAUGAAUGGUGGACUCUGUAUCUUUGGUAGAUGUGAAUGCUUACCAGGGUUCAAUGGUGACAGCUGUGAAACUCCAGGUGAUGUAACGCUUGUUAUUACUGUGAAGGAGAUUACUGGUAAAG